rnacentral:rRNA from 1 species
GACAGAGGAUGCAAGCGUUAUCCGGAAUGAUUGGGCGUAAAGCGUCUGUAGGUGGCUUUUUAAGUCCGCCGUCAAAUCCCAGGGCUCAACCCUGGACAGGCGGUGGAAACUACCAAGCUGGAGUACGGUAGGGGCAGAGGGAAUUUCCGGUGGAGCGGUGAAAUGCGCAGAUAUUAGGAGGAACACCGGUGGCGAAGGCGGGUCUCUGGGCCGUUACUGACGCUGAGGAGCGAAAGCGUGGGGAGCGAACAGG